ensembl:lncRNA
CAUUGACUGGUUUGGUUGUUUUCAGGGAAACAGCCAGUUGUGUGAGUGAUCCUUGCCUGGGUACAGCUAAAGAGCAAAGGGGCUCAGCUUCGCGUGAGAAGCAAGCAGAAUGGGUCACUAAGCCUUCUUUUUUUAUUUUUUUCAAGAAAAAAAGAGAAAACAUUUACAAAGCAUAUCUGAAGGUCUUUGGCGUUUAUAUCUCAUUCAUAGACCUGUAAUUUAUCCUCAGUUAAUAUAACAACAAAAAAAAUUACCACUGUUUUGAUUCUCUGAAUGGUUUACCAUCCCUCUUUGUGGCUGUUUUGUUCAAAAAUAAAGGAGGGGAGGGGAGAAGUGAGCAUAUUGUAGGUACAAAGGGAGAAGAUAAAAGCAUCAGCCUGUUUCUGUACCUCCUAUGUAAUAUUGCCAUAGUAACGAGGAGCUGGCUGUGGCUGUUCAUCACUGAAAGCUGAGUGUCACUGUAACCAGAUACACAAACAUCAAGGCCCAGCCUUCAAGACCCUGUGGAGGUCCCCUAGGCCUCCUCCCUCUGCAAGAGAAGCCGGUGCCUGAAGCUCUGGACCUUCCUACUUGUCAUCCAAAGCGGGAUUUCCAGCCUUGUGAGGAGGGUGGGCAGCUCGUGUCCAGCACAGAGACCAUGUGGGCAGCUGCCAGUGAAAGUGAUCCCUGAAUUGCCUGCAGCUCCUGUCCUGCAGAACCAGCAGCCUCCAGGCUUCCCACACUCAUGUGCCAAUAGAUGCUUUCUUCAGAAGAAAAGAAUUUGGAGAAUGUUGAGGAAGAGGGGAAAAGUGCAGGAGAAACGGAGAGCUGGAUCCUCAUCUAACAGAGGACCUGCAUCUGCUUCUCUGUUGGAUGUAGCGGGUAGUACAAGAAAACCCCCAUAACGCUUUGUCUGUAGUGAAGCAAUGCACCAAAAGACCUGUUUUAAUGCUUCAAAUUCAGCACCCCUGUGAACUCCAAUCUCACACCUGCUCCGUGCGAGAUGGGUUAUGGAGAGUGGAGACAAGCGGGUGCAUCCAGCGGAGCCACUGCUUUGCUCCUCUCCCUGCCUGCAGGACAGGCUCUGGCUGCCUGUGAGCUGGUGUGGCUGCAGACUGGGGCUGUAAAACUGUGCUGUGUGACCUGAUGAUCUCCCUGGAGUUUCCUGGUGUUUCUGUUUUAUGGUCCUUUCACACCUUCCCAGCCUUCCCAGUGCUUGCACGACUGGAAUGCAGCACCAGACUCCAGGCCAAGACAGGUGAAAUGCUUGUAAAGUAACUGGGAAAUGAAAGAUUUUGCUCCCCUCCUCACCCAUUUUGGAUUUCCAUGGGAUUGCUAGCAUGACAGGGUUAUAGUUAUAUUUGAAGGAGCACAAGAUGUGAAUCACUGUGUGUAGGCUGGUAUUUCAAAUGUGACUGACAGUUGCUUUUCAACACUUGAAUAUCAAUAUGGUGCUGGUAGGUAUCUGUGAAUCUUUUCAACUGGCCACAGCAAUGCAGAGAAAGGCAGAUCUCACGUCCACGUUCUACUUGCUUUCUGGUAUCAGGCUCUAACUUCUGGAAUUUAGAACCACUUUUAGUCAUAAUGUCAUUUAAUCGUGUCUUUAUGCUUUCUUCCCCUUUUGUAAAUAAUUGACAUGAGAAAGGAAAAUACUAAAGAGGGUGGUGGUAGAAAAUGAACAGUGAAAAACAGUAAAUGCAAUGUCUGCCCCUUUCUCUACCUAUUUCUGAGUUUAGUUUAUUCAGAGCAUGUGAAGUAGCACAUUGUCUUUUCCAUGCAGGGAGAAACUGUGACUGAAGAUGAUAUAUGUUACCAGUACGAGUCUGAAUUUUUCAAUUUCUUUAAGAGUUAGCCUUGUAAUAAUGCCAGGUGUGAAUCUCAUCCAAGUAUUCAAUAUUUUGCCCU